GGCCCCUUAGCCCAAUCGGUAGAGGCAACAGACUUAAAAUCUGUCCAGUGUCAGUUCGAGUCUGACAGGGGCUA
rnacentral:tRNA from 1 species